rnacentral:tRNA from 1 species
GGGCAGGUGGCGGAAUUGGUAUACGCGCUAGUCUUAGGAACUAGUUUCCUUGUGAAAUGAGGGUUCGAGUCCCUCCCUGCCCA